ACUCUACUCUACUCUACUCUACUCUACUCUACUCUACUCUACUCUACUUCACACACUCUAUUCUACUCUACACACUCUACUCUACUCUACACACUCUCGUGGAAUGGCAUCCCUGUUAACUGGCAGCAGCUUGUGCUUGGGACUGACGUUGUGAGCGAAGAUCAAAAUUAUUACGCUACGUGAACUUUGUAGGUCCAUGGUUCUGGCACUGCGGUGGAAAACCCAAAAGAUGUCCAGGUAUUAGCCUGUCCUGUAUUAGACGUCCAGGUAUUAGCCUGUCCUGUAUUAGACGUCCAGGUAUUAGCCUGUCCUGUAUUAGACGUCCAGGUAUUAGCCUGUCCUGUAUUAGACGUCCAGGUAUUAGUUCCGAGUUCCUGUGGGGGGUACGGCGCCUUUAGAUUCACAGUUUGUCAUUUGUGG
ensembl:lncRNA